UACGAAGGGGGCUAGGGUUGUUCGGAAUUACUGGGCGUAAAGGGCGCGUAGGCGGUGUGUCAAGUCAGGCGUGAAAGCCCCGGGCUCAACCUGGGAACCGCGCUUGAGACUGGCACGCUAGAGUUCGGGAGAGGAUGGUGGAAUUCCCAGUGUAGAGGUGAAAUUCGUAGAUAUUGGGAAGAACACCGAUGGCGAAGGCAGCCAUCUGGACCGACACUGACGCUGAGGCGCGAAAGCUAGGGGAGCGAACGGG
rnacentral:rRNA from 1 species